AAAUUAGGAGAAAAAUUGUGAGCCCAAAAUUAGCUAUUCGUAAGAUAAUUCGUAGAUAAGUAAUUUGCGCAUACCUUGCCUCUUUCAGAUAAAGAAACAGCUAAAACCGGUGGAAGCGCUGGUCAAGAGAAACUGGUUUGCCGGCCAUGUGACUCAGCAGCUGAGACCAGAGUAACCGCAAUUUUCGGUGGCUAAUCAAAAGCUGACACAAAGAAAUAAUUUCAAUUGAAAUUAAGCACGCGUGCGAGCGAGACAGAUGGCAAACAAUGAGCGUAGACAAGUAUAUAGAAAAUGUUGCCCAUGCUCAGACCUCGACAGACAAGCAACAAAGAGCGAAGAAGAGAGAGAGAGAGAGGGGGUAGAGACGUGCAGGAAAUAUCAGUUACACUUGCAUCAAGAGAACCUCAGCAAAAGUGCAUGAUUUGUGAGGUUAUGGUUGGCAUUACAUGCAUAUUGGCAUUGUUAUACCCUGAAAGGGGUAAUAUAUACAUACAUAUAUAUCAGUCGACCUAGAUUGGCUCAGAUUGGACAACAAAAUAAGCAGGCUGAAAAGGAAUACUUAUGGAGCAGCAAAUGCCAGCUCUAGGCACGGAUGAAGCAUAAGCUUACAAGAUAACCCAAUAUUAAUAUUUACGAGUUCCGUUAUAUGAGCCCUAUCCUAUUAACAUCGCACUACUACAACGACAAUGUAUUCA